GGGAACUCCCUGACCCCUUGCGCUUUCUGAGUGAGGCAGUGCCUCGCCCUGCUUCGGCUCGCACACGGUGCGCGCACCCACUGACCUGCGCCCACUGUCUGGCACUCCCUAGUGAGAUGAACCCGGUACCUCAGAUGGAAAUGCAGAAAUCACCCGUCUUCUGCGUCGCUCACGGUGGGAGCUGUAGACUGGAGCUGUUCCUAUUCGGCCAUCUUGGCUCCUCCGCAUUUGUUUUUAUGGUGGGUUUUGUAUUGUUUUUAUAGAGCUGCCCUCACAUGCUUCAGCAACAUUAGAUGUUCUGGAGACUGGAAAGUCCAAGAUCAUGGUGCCUGAGGAUUCAGUGUCUGGUGGACCCUAUUUAAUGUGGGAGAGGAAUACAUAAAAAGGUGGAUAUCAUGAGGUGAAAAUCAUUGGAGACCAUCUUGGAAGCUGUCUAACGCAACAAGAAUUAUUUUAUUUAUGAUUUAUUUGAAGUCUUUUUUUAUUUAUAAUCUGUUUUACUUGGAAUGAUUGGUUAUCAGACUCAGCACGUUUUCAAAUCUGUAUAACAGAUGCUAUCUUGUUUGUCAUUAGGUAAGUUCACCUGAAACCCUCAGGCAAGCCUUUCAGAACUAAUGCCUGUUGUAAUUCCCUUAUUUCUUAUGUGAUUUAAAUUGUGAAAAGCCCAUAUUUCUUUUGAAAAAUCAUUGCUUGUCUUUUGUCUCUGAUGUUAGCAUGUUUUCAGGCAAUGUUUUUGAAGUUAAAUAUAUUUGUUGUUUAGAGAUGACUUUUCUCUGCCCUUUUAUUUUACAUACAAGGGUACUAGUAUCCAGAGAGGUCAAGUGGCUAAGGAUGCAAAAUUUGUAAUAAAAUUUAGGUUUUCUGAAUCUU
rnacentral:lncRNA from 1 species